rnacentral:tRNA from 10 species
UGUGAAAGUUUGUUACAUAAAGAUUUGUCACAGAGGAGGUUGAUUUUGUGUUCCAAGCCUGUGAUCAUUAACUGUUUUCCAGCUCUACCAGCAUCCUGUCCAAGCCUUUAAGAUGAGGAACAAAUUCUAUGUGAGGAGAAAUGGCAAAAAUUGGUAUGCCUCUGCUUUUCUGAUUUCCCAUUCCCUUCCAUUUCUCUUAUUAACAAGUAAAAGUAAGGAAAUCCUGUCCUGUGGAUAACUUCCCAUUGACUUGCAGAGAGCUCAGACAUGCUAUGGUAGAUAUGGAUACUAUUUUGUUUUUGUUUUUUGAGAUGGAGUCUUGCUCAGUCACCCAGGCUGGAGUGCAGUGGCAUGAUCUCAGCCCACUGCAAACUCCGCCUCCCAGGUUCAAGUGAUUCUCCUGACUCAGCCUCCCGAGUAGCUGGGAUUACAAGCAGAUGCCACCACACCCAGCUAAUUUUUGUAUUUUUAGUAGAGACAAGGUUUAACCAUCUUUACUAAACAGACUAGGCCCGUCUUGAACUCCUGACUUCAAGUGAUCUGCCCGCCUCAGCCUCCCAACGUGCUGGGAUUAUAGGUGUGAGACACUGCACCUUGCCAAUGGUGAAUAUUGUUGAUUUAAAAUAAUAGAUAUAAUAAAUCUCCAAUCUCAGGGAAGUUUCCAAGUCCUAAAGUCAAAACUUCCGAUCUUGCCGUGUGCUUGAAUUAUCCUCAAUUAGAGUCCCUGCUGCUGUUGCAUGUCGCUGUAAUUAUUCUGUCAUCGUUAAUUCAAUGAAGCCUAUUAACCCACAUCAGAUAGUGUAUUUAUCUACAAUGCAUGUUACCUGCUCCUCUAGAUAAGACAGCUGUCAUACUUCAAGUCUGCUGUCUCUUUGUUGAGGUCCAGUAGUGUCAGUCUGCAAGUGUUUCAUGUUUCAUAUACAUUACAGAAUCCCCAUUAAUGGUUGAUAUGAUUAGGCUUUGUGUCCCCACCCAAAUCUCAUCUUGAAUUACAUUCCCUAUAAUCCCCACAUGUCAAGGGAGAGACCAGGUGGAGAUAAUUAAAUAAUGGGGGCAGUUUCCCCCACGCUGUUUUCAUGACAGUGAGUUCUCACGAGAUCUGAUGGUUUUAUAAGGAACGCUUCCCUCUUUGCUCGGCAUUUCUCCUUCCUGCUGCCUUGUGAAGAAGAUGCAUUGUUUUCCUCUUCACUUUCUGCCACAAUUGUAAGUUUCCUGAGGCCUCCCCAGCCAUGCUGAACUGUAAGUCAAUUAAACCUCUUUCCUUUAUAAAUUACACAGUCUCAGGCAGUUCUUUACAGCAGUAUGAAAAUGGAGUAAUACAAUGAUGUUCUUAUAACUUCCCAGACUGGAAGGCUUGCUGGUCUUGUGAGAUACUGAACUGGAGACAGCAGAAAAAUGCAUCCUCCUGAUAUUGACUUUGGACUUGCACUGGAAUUACACCCCAGCUUUCCUGAUUCUACAGUUUGAAGAUGGUAGAUUGUGGGACUUCUCAGACUCCAUAAUGAGGGCUUGGAGGCUGUAGCAGUGAGUGGUGCUGCUGUCCUAAUGUCCUGACUAUACCGGGAGCCACUCUUCGAUCAUUCUUCUGUCCAUUCAGAUGAGUAGAGAUGGGCUGCAUGAACGGUUUUAUCCCCAGGAUCAAGUGGAGCAUCUGGCAUGGAACAGCCAGCCACUCAAUGCGAGGGGCUUUGUGGAGAGCUGUCCAUCAUCCUUGCCUGCCCAAGGACAAUGACUUCUCAGCUUUCACCAUGCAUCCUGCAGCCAUGGAGGGAAGCAAAAUUAACUGGUCUCCAUCAGCCUCCCCAUCAAACAUUUGCUGAGCACCCAUCAUGUGCAAAAUAUUGACUAGGAACUGUGGGAGAUGGGAAGAAUUCUGGAAACUCCUAACUCUCAAGGAAUUUGCAGGGUUAUCAGACAGUUGCCACACAAAGACAUAAAAACAUCCCCUGCUAAAAUAAAGACCACGCCAGAUAUGUGCUGUAGGUAUUCACCCCUGCAGGAACUCUGGGGAAAAUGGGGCAGGAGGAGUCACCCUUGGAUGUCACAAAUGGCUCUCCAAAGGAAAUAGAACAACAUCGCAGCAUGAAUUCUGAAGCCGGCCCACCUGCCUGCCUUGAAUUACAGCUUCCACCAGCUGUCUGGCCUUGGACAAACUACUUAACUCUCCACAUCUGUCAAAUGGGGAUAAUAAUAUAACAAUCCCCCAAUAUUGUGAGGAUGAAAUAAGCUAAUACUUAGGAAAAGCUUGGAACAGUGCUUGGCACGUCUUAAGUGUGAUAUGUGUGAGCUCCUUCCUUGAUUCUCAUUCUGACUUGAAGAGGAUUUUUAGAGGGGAGACCCAGGGAACAGUGGGGCAGCCUAGACGGGUGGAAAGUGUUAUGCUGGAGGCUUAACCUAACCUGGUUCAAAACCUGGUUCUGCUAUUUCUACCAGUGUGACCUUGACUUAAACUCUCCAAAGCUCAGUUCCUCACUUAUAAAAUGGUAAUAACAAAACCAAUUUCAUUGAAAACGUAUGCUAACGAUGCCAUGAUAAAUAAUAGUUAUUAUUAAAGAGAAACACAGUAAAGAAGUUCCCAGAGGGAGGUGAAUAAAUUAAGCAUGAUGACGUGCCUUGCUACUUCCCCAUCUUUCUCUUCUUCCCCCAGAUUUGUUCAAGGUCUCAUCAUUACUGGUUUGCAUUUCUAUUUUAAUCAUGUUAUAGGUUUACAGUAUUUUUCCCCCUGCAUCUUUAUAUGCUAUAAUUUGGGUACUAUUUUUACACAACGAAGCCAUUUUUAACCGAGAACAGAUUCAAUUGUCUUUCAGCAUAUAUCAUUGUUUAUCUUAAUUAAUGCUAAAAUAUUCUUAGGGGGAAAAACACAUCCCACAGAGUAUUAUGCGAAGAAACUUAGCAUUCAUUUUUGCCUCCCUCUUUUCUGGCAUAUCAAUUUAUAAAGGUUUUAGCAUCCUGUUAUUUCAAUGACAAUAAUGCAUGCUCUUAAACGCAGACACCCAUCUGUGGGAAGCAAGUCACAGGGUGUCAACAGCAGCAAGGUGUGUGUUGCAGUGGAGGUGGAGGAUUGACAGCUGGAAGAAGAAGGGGAUUUUGCUGGUGAGAAUAAUGCCAAGUGAAGUCAUAGGCUUUGUCUCUGAUUGAUCCAUGGAAACAUUCCUUGAGUAGAGCUGAAUCUAGCUAGAUUCCAUGCUUGGAGUCUUUCUUAGUAAGGCUACUACUAUAAGCACAGAUGAUGGAAAAUGGAUGAUGUUUUUAUUCAUCAUCCAUUCUCUUUCCUUCAAAUAAGAUGCCCCAUGCACCUCUGAGGGAAUGACCCUUUACACACUCAACCUAAGUUUUUUGCCUCUCCCUCCAGCUCUAGGGUGGGCAUGUGAUAUAGAACUGACCAAUCAAUAUCUAUUAUCUUUCUGGCCACAGUGAUUGGGCAAGGGAUAGCCAUGUGACCCAAUCAGAGCCAAGAGACUCAGUUUUGAGGCUUUAGAUAGAACCACUGGGAAAGAGGGUUCUCUUUCUACUGGGAUGCUGACCUGGCAGGAAUAUUACCCAGAGCUGCCUGUGACCAUCUUUACUAUGAAAAGGGGAGAGCUUGCCAAAGAAUGAAGCUGUAUUAUAGUCUGUUCUCAUGCUGCUAAUAAAGACAUACCUGAGAUGGGGUAAUUUAUAAAGGAAAGAGGUUUAAUGGACUCAAAGUUCCACAUGUCUGGGGAGGCCUCACAAUCAUGGCAGAAGGCAAACGAGGAGCAAAGUCACGUCGUACAUGGUGGAAGGCAGGAGAGCGUGUGCAGGGAAACUCCCCUUCAUAAAACUAUCAGAUCUCGUGAGACUUACGAGAACAACACAGGAAAGACCCGCCCCCAUGAUUCAUUUACCUCCCACUGGGUCCCUCCCAUGACACAUGGGAAUUAAGGGAGCUACAAUUCGAGAUGAGAUUUAGGUGGGGACACAGCCAAACCAUAUCAGAAGCCAAUAUGAAAGAAAACAGAACUGAGAGAUGGAGGCAGACUCUUGAUGACAACUCCUGGACCCUGGAUCAAUUUUUGUUUAAAGCCAGUCUGCACUCUGCAUCUUUGAUGUAAACCAAUGUAUUUCCUUUAUUUGUUUGUUUAAACUAAAUUAAGUCAUUUGUAAUUUAAAGAGUUCAGAGAGGUGCCGUGUUUCAGUAGGGAACUGUAAAAAGCCAGGAUAUUCUGUAAAUUAGAAGGGAAUAAUGUGGUGUUGACCACAUCUGGGAGAAUGUGCAUCUGAGGGUGUCUUGCAUGCCAAACUCACUUGUCUUCCUAAUCAAGCAAUAGUUUGGUAACUGAGAAGUUCCAAGUAGCCUUUAAGUCACACAAUCAUACUAGAGGAACUCCUAAGAACCUGGGUGACAUUGUGAUAUAAAAUGUGGAACUUCACUAGGUUAUGCAAGAACCUCUGAAAAGGGUUGAUAGGAAGGGUGUACGUUAGGUGUGUAAAGAACUAGGUGUGGGGGAACUAACUAGUACAAAAGGGAUCUGGUGAAUUUGGAUUCUACCCUACUCGAGAUGAUGUUGGAGGGCUCUGAUCAAAGUAGGGGUUUGGGGGCAGAAUUAUGACAAGUAUCUAUAGGAAGUCACUAUCUUUUAUUAAAAAUUUGUUGUGAACCUGUCCUCACUCAUAGUUGGGAAUUGAACAAUGAGAACACAUGGACACAGGAAGGGGAACAUCACACUCUGGGGACUGUUGUGGGGAGGGGGGAGGGAUAGCAUUAGGAGAUAUACCUAAUGCUAAAUGACGAGUUAAUGGGUGCAGCACACCAGCAUGGCACAUGUAUACAUAUGUAACUAACCUGCACAUUUGUGCACAUGUACCCUAAAACUUAAAGUAUAACAAAAAAUUUGUUGUGAACCAGAUACUGUACUAAAUGACUUACCUACACUGUUGUAUUUAAUUCUCUCAACAACCUGAUGAGUUCUGUAUCUUAUUAUAUCCAUUUUACAUGUAAGGGAGCUGAGGCUUAGAAAGCUGGAGUGACUUGGUCUGCCAUGGCUAGGAUUUCAGCUCAUGUCUGUAUGACUCGAAAGCAUCUAGUGGGUGGUAACAUUGGUUUGUAGACUUGAAACAACUUUGGCUAAUGACUGGGGCACAUGGAAGAGGGGACAGAGUCCAGCUUCCAAAGUUAGAAGGCUACCAAAACUAAGGUUUUGGUCAGAGAUUCAACAUUCCAGGGGCAGACCCUGAUCCCAAUGGGAGAGUAGAUUUGAUAGGGAAACUGAGGCAGGAUCCUGGGACUGGAGCCAACACAGGGAGCAUUAGUUGGGAGGGUUGUUGUGACCAGUCAACAUACUUCUGGGGGCUUGUGGCAAAGAACAAACACAGAACUCCAAAUGAAUUCCCUGCCAGAGCUUGUUCAGAGUUGGCUUGGGAUAGGAGAAUCUGAGGGGAGUAUGAGGCUGACAGAGAAAAAAGAGAGUCUUGUGGAAUCCUAAGAUUUAAAAAGAGAGGAAGAAAAGAUGCCUUUUAUUUAUUAAACAGUGAUUACGAAAUACCUAACACAUGGCCACGAUUAGACUAGGCUCUUCCCAUACAUGAAGCUCAGAGAGGUCAAGUGAGUUGUUCAGGGUAACACAGGAGCUGUGCCUGGGUAUGAAGCUGUAUCUGCUCAAACAUAAAGGUCUUUUCAUGGUGCCAGAGUCUACAUUUCCCAGAGUACUAAGAUAGUGACUUGAUCAUCAGCACUAAAUAUGUGUCGUAAAGAUAGCUCACAUUUACAGAUAUUAUAGCUACUCUGUGCCCUGCAAGGUGCUAACGACUUUACUUGGAUUAUCUCAACUUAUCCCCCAGACAACCUAUGACGUUUAGCCAGGCAUCAUCAUCAUCAUCAUCAUCAUCAUAUCAUCGUUAUCCUCAUCCUCAUCCUCAUCAUUGUUCUUGAAUGAUGAAAAUUGGAGCUCAGAAACUCAACCUGUGUCAAGAUUACAAAGCUAGCAAUUCUGGGUCAGAACCUGAACCCAGGCAGCCCGCACUUUCGAUGUGCCCAAGCUUAUAUCUCCACCUACAACUCUGCCUCAGUUUCUCCCUCUGUAAAAUGAAGACAGUAAUAAGGCACCUCACAAGGUUAUUGUGAGAACAAAAUGAACCGCUGCAUACUAGGAGCUUAACAGACUGGCAAAGAAAACUCCAUCAAUGUUGGCUUUCAUCGGGGCUAUUUUAAUUUUUGCAUCACCCUCUUCAAAAGGGCACUUCUCGCUUUCCCACGGCUAAGCUGCCACACUCAAGUGUGCUGGAAAAAAAGGCUGGGUAGCUCACAACGUGCGGGGGCAUCUUAGUGUAAUCCUGGGGUGAGAGAUAAAAGAAGCUCGCUUGACAUAACUUCAUAAACCCAUUUUAAUCUAAACAUUGAUUUUCCUUUGGAACAAUCCCUUUCCCCUUGCUCACAGUCCCACCACGCCUCUAAUACAGACGUGGGUAUUGAUAACAUUAUUGAGAUAAAACAGUCGCCUCUUUCUUAUUCCCUUUAUUCAUCAGUCACCCCAGGCCUGUCUUUGUCUUUUUUCAUCCUCUGCUACCCAGCAUUAUUCAUUGGAGUGCCUUCUUUUCCCUCACCCUCCAUAACUCAAGGUGAAAGUUUUCAGUAAUGACAAGUAGUAAAAUAUGAGAGAUUUAAGCAAAUUCAACUGGAAAUAAUGUGAAAAAAUAUUAUUCGCUCCGGACACAUGCUUCUCUUUUGAUCUUCCUUGUCCAAGAUACAUUUUAAAAAAAAUACUCCUUUGAUAACAAGAAGUGAGCAGGGGCUAAAAGGAAACCUUAUGUCUUUGUUGGGAAAUAAUUAGUCUGAUCGAAUCGCUUGCUUUCUGAUGGACAAAGGAGUCUUUAAAGAAAAUCAUUUGUGUUCUCUGGGCCCCUUCAGGCAGCACAGCUUUCCGAGGCUUGGGCUUUUAGAUGAGAGUUUGGGGAAUGGAAAAUUUCCCUGAAUAAGAAAUCAGAGAGCUUGACCUACACAGUUACCUCUCUCUUAACAUGACAACAAUUGGCAAUUACUUUUUGAUCCAAAGUGUGAGGAUGAAUAUGGAAAGGAAGGGCGAAUCAUUCUCCUUCUUCUCAAGCUCAUUCUCUCUUUAGACCUGCACCUGAAGCUGAUUUUCUUUUCUUUUUUUUUUUUUUCCAGUCCCAGCAAUUCAAUAUAAUCUAUAGCUGGAAAUACCUAUGUUAGCUGCAGCUGGGGGAAAAAGCAGUUGGCAAAUUCAUGAAUCAGGGCUUCUUUUCUUUUUCGCUUGUGAAAGGUAACUUCCGACAGCUUAAGGGUGAUUUGGAAUGAAGCGUGGGUUGGUUCCUAGUGUCAGCACAUUGCCUAGUUGUUCCAGCCAGGCUGGCUGUAAUGAAGCGUGGACAUCCAUACAUAGUUUCAGUGUCAGGGACACCGGUGACUCUAAUGAAGAGAGGACCUUAACUUUGAUGCAGAAUCAUGAUUGUUUAUAGCUGUGUGGUGAAGAAUGGGCUCUGAAAUCCAUCGCACUUCGGUGAAAAUGCUGUUUGGUCUGCAAUGUGAAGCUGAUAGCUUAAUUUCUCUGAUACUCAGUGUCUUUACCUGUAAAAUGGUGCCAAUAUCAAAGUAGCUGUCUGGUAUAGCAGGGUUUCUUAAUCUUGGCAUUAUCAACAUUUGGGGCCAGGACAUUCUUCAUGGUGAGGGGCUGCCCUGGGCAUUGUAGGGUGUUUAGCAGCAUCGUUAGCUUCUACCCACUAGAUGCCAGUAGCACUCUCCCCCCACCCCAUUAUGACAACAAAAAUCGUCUCCAGACACUGCCAGUGUCCCCUGGGAGGCGCAAUCCCUCCUCCCUCCCCUCACCGAAAGCCGCUGCCAUGGAGCUAUUGUGAGAAUGAAAUGAAAUAAUCCAUACAAUGCUCUCAGCACUGUUUAGUAGACAGUACAUAGUAAAUGCUCAAUACGAAUUAGUUGUUACUCAGACACCAAGAGGGUAACAACAGGCGCACAGACACUGGGGCCUAUUUGAGGGUGGAGGAUGAGAGGAGGGAGAGGAGCAGAAAAAAUAACUAUUGGGUACUAGGCUUAGUACCUGGGUGAUGAAAUCACAAACCCUAGUGGCACAAGUUUACCUAUAGAACCAACCUGCACAUGUACAUCUGAAUCUAAAAUAAAAGUUUGAAAAAUGAAUAAAUAACUAUUACUUGUUACUGUAUUAAUAAAACUGUCAAU